CUCUCACUCCCUCAUUCUCUCUCCCCAAAAGGGGUGUUAACUAAUCGUAUGCAGACAUCUCCUCCAGAGCCUCGCACACUAUCCAGCUGGAAAGGAGGGAGCCAGGAGUGCAGGACUGGGACAGGGGGAGUUUCUCUGAGAGAAUCAGGGCUUCCUUCUAUCCUUACCCCCCACCCCUUCCCUGGAUGGAGUUCCGCUGGGCUAGAGGAGCUGGGGUGGGUGUGCGGGGAUCCUCUCAGCUCCGGAGAGCCUUCAGUGAGCAUGUCAAGGAUUCCACCAGCAGAGCCUGGGAGGUGUUCUGGAAGAGGGCAAGGGAGCGGAGGCUAACAGGGGCUCCCAGAGGCGACUCUCCCCACCCAGCCUGGAAGGAGGGGAAGUGGAGGGCAGACAGCUGCGUUCCCUGGUCUGCAUGCAGUACAACAUCUGGGCUCUCAGUACAGCCAGAGCAGCAGCGUUGGAGGGCUCUGAGCGGGGCAGUGUCUGACCAGCCCUCCGAGCCUGGUCCCCCAAUGGAAGGUAGGAAGCAUCUGCAGUUCAGAUUCCAAGUCUGAGGGAGCAUUGGCAUAUGGGGGCAUGGUAGGGGUGAGGGAUAACCAUGUGGGGAAUACCGUGAAGGUUAUGGAGAUGGACUCUGGGAAAUACAAGAGAACAGAGAAAAUG
rnacentral:lncRNA from 1 species